rnacentral:rRNA from 1 species
GACGGAGGAUGCAAGCGUUAUCCGGAAUCAUUGGGCGUAAAGAGUACGUAGGUGGCACAUCAAGUCUGCUUUCAAAAACCGAAGCUCAACUUCGGAAAGGGAGUGGAAACUGAUAAGCUAGAGUAUAGUAGGGGUAGAGGGAAUUCCUAGUGUAGCGGUGAAAUGCGUAGAGAUUAGGAAGAACACCAGUGGCGAAGGCGCUCUACUGGGCAUAUACUGACACUGAGGGACGAAAGCUAGGGUAGCGAAAGGG